UGGCUUACAAUGUCUCUUACUACUGACCCC
rnacentral:piRNA from 1 species